AGAGUGGAAGCGAGCCAAGGAUGACUUGCCGGUUUAAACACAACCGGUUUAUUGACCAUUGGUUCGGUCACAUCGGUUGAUUUGUGUUUGGCAAGUUGACCUUGGCUCUGUUUUGUUCUAU
rfam:Arabis alpina cultivar Pajares chromosome 3, whole genome shotgun sequence.